rnacentral:rRNA from 1 species
AUGCCUGGUCGUCUUCUCCUCUCAUUUCUCCUUGUAGCCGUCGCUUCCGGCGCCUACGAUGGCGUCGGACGGCAGCUGAUAAGCCGGGGGAGCUUCCCCAAGGGCUUCGUCUUCGGAACGGCCUCCUCGUCCUAUCAGUAUGAGGGUGGUGCAAUGGAGGGGGGCAGGGGACCAAGCAUCUGGGACAACUUCACUCACCAGAACCCAGCCAAAAUUGUCGACGGAAGCAACGGGGAUGUUGCAGUGGAUUCAUACCAUCUUUACAAGGAAGAUGUGCGCCUCAUGAAAGAUAUGGGAAUGGAUGCAUACAGGUUCUCCAUAUCAUGGACAAGGAUUCUUCCAGAUGGGACUCUGAGAGGUGGAGUGAACAGAGAAGGCGUCGAGUACUACAACAACUUGAUUAAUGAGCUAUUAUCCAGAGGGGUGCAACCAUUUGUGACCCUUUUUCACUGGGAUUCACCUCAGGCAUUAGAAGAUAAAUACGGAGGGUUUCUUAACCCUAAUAUCAUAAACGACUAUAAGGAUUACGCUGAAGUCUGCUUCAGGGAGUUCGGGGACCGAGUGAAGCACUGGAUCACAUUCAAUGAGCCCUGGGCCGUGAGCGUUGCGGGCUAUGCAAUGGGCGUGCUUGCGCCAGGUAGGUGCUCGCCCUGGGAGAUGGGGAAAUGCAGCGCUGGAGAUUCAGCAAGUGAGCCUUACACAGUAUCCCACCAUCAGCUACUCGCCCAUGCGGCGGCCGUCAAAUUAUACAGAAAGAAAUAUAAGGUCGUUCAAAAGGGGAAGAUUGGGAUAACUUUAGUCUCAGCCUGGUUUGUUCCCUUCUCCCAUUCAGACUCUGACAGUGAUGCAGCAAAGCGUGCUAUAGACUUCAUGUUUGGAUGGUUUAUGGACCCCCUAACCAGAGGAGACUACCCACUGAGCAUGAGAAGAAUGGUCAGAGAUCGCUUGCCGCGGUUCACCAAACAACAAUCUAAAUUGGUCAAGGGUGCAUUCGACUUCAUUGGUAUCAACUACUACACUGCAAACUAUGCUGAUAACCUUCCACCAUCAAAUGGCCUCAAGAGCUACAAUACAGAUGCCCGAGCUAAUCUUACCGGUUUUCGAAAUGGUGCCCCCAUAGGUCCUGAGACUGGUUUACCUUGGCUCUACGUCUACCCUCAAGGGUUACGUGAUCUGUUGCUUUAUGUCAAGGAGAAGUAUGGCAAUCCUACCAUCUACAUCACCGAAAAUGGCCUCGGUGAAACCACCACCAACACGAGCCUACCACUCGCGGAAGCACUGAAGGACGAUGCGAGGAUAGAGUACCACCACAUGCACCUUGUUGCCUUGUUGAGUGCGAUCAGGGACGGGGCAAACGUGAAGGGGUACUUCGCAUGGUCGCUGCUGGACAACUUCGAGUGGGCAACUGGGUACACGGUGCGCUUCGGGUUACACUUCGUGGACUAUGAUGAUGGGCGGAAGCGGUACCCCAAGCGCUCUGCUGGCUGGUUCAAGAGGUUCCUCAAGAGAUGA